UCCAACCCUGGCCAUUCUGUGAUUCUGUAACACCUAGAGCUGAGUCAGGGUGCUCAGAGCCCAUAUAUCCCAGUAUUGGAGCAUUAUGCUUCUCAGUUUUUCAUGCUAUAGGGUUGUAGGAGCUGUGGAGAGGCUGAUCCAGUGCUUCAGUACAGAACUUUCCCCACAGCCUCUUAAUUGCCUCCUGCUAGGGAUUAAGAACAAAAAAACAACAAAAACAAACUCCAAAACAUACCCACACAUCUUUCAUAAAAAGAAGCCUGAGAUCAUUAGCUAACAUUUGGAAGUCCCUCAAAUUAACAUGCGUGAAGGACUGUGGCCAAACUCCCACUGGCUCUCAUAAAAGCAGCAAUCAGUCCUUCAAGCAAGAUUCUCUACAGAAUAACACCCAGAAGCCCCUGCAGAAGGGAUUUGCCAAUCUCACCAUCUGACUAGAUUAAAAACAGCAGUAACAAUGUGAUAAUUGACAGGAGAAACUUCCCUGACAAGGAAUGAAUCAGUGUUUAUUUUUAGCCUUUUCCCCCAAUGCUUUAUUUAAACUAAAGAUUAACUAAUUAUUUCCGUCAUUAUAGCGUCCUCACUAGCAACAGAAGGUGGCAGAUCCUUCUGUGUCUGCUGGUUUUCUGCAGUUCUGUUACUUCGCGUUGGCUCAUCCCUUGAGGUCUGCGAGCACCCGGGAUGAUGCGGUUGUGGUGGUAUUGAGUUUUCGCUUGGCCUCACCCCUAGAUGUAGUACCCCCACGAUCGCUGUUUUUGUUUCUUAAACAGUAAGUUUCAAAAAAGGUUUCUGAAAAUGGAAACUGUGAUUUUCCACGUCCCACCUUUGCUCCUAAGCUUUUCUUGAAAAACGAGUCAGCGGUAAUCCUGUCAACGCAUCUCCCCACUGCAACCUUUUGCAGUGGCAGAGCACUCCCAUCCCAAACAGAUAGCAUGUACAGGAGCCAGCAGUAAAACCUUAUCUAGGGAAGGACAGCUCACCUGAGAAAAGAGUGGCAGAAGAUUUGUCACAGAAUAAAUACAGGGAAGCUGGUCACACUGCCAGUGACACCGCAUAAUGCCUGGGUCUGCUCAUAAGCUUUUAGCUCCUGCUUUGUUUCAAAGCUGGAGGCUUGAUGUAUUUUUCUUAGAAGUUGAAUUGUUCAUAUCGGUUUCACUAUCAGAAAACGAAUCACAUUAUGGAUAUCGCUGAGGGUUAUUUCGCUUUUGUCUACUGCGGAACAAAGAAACAUAAAUGGCACUUUGUUUCAUUUUUUUGCGUAUCUAUAGUGUGAGGAUCACUACAAAAACAUUUAUGUUUUACUGUUCUCUCACAGUCUCAGAGCAGUUGUACCACACUAAAAUCUUAAACUUGUAUCAGUUUUAAACGUAAAGAAUGAAUAUGAUUGUCAGCAUUCAAGUGCUUGUUCUCCAGUGGAAAGUGUUUGUACAUAAUUUUUUUCCAUACUUCUUAAUAUUUCAGAUAAUUUUGGAUGUGACUACUUGUUGUAAGCCAAUUCCAGAUCUCCAGUUCUCCCAAAUCUGAAUCUGUACACCACUCUGAAUAUCAGGAAUCCUGAACCCUGUGCUGAGGCAGCCGUUUUCCUGUCAGCUAUGACGAGGAGCGAAAUCAGUUCAAUAGCUCUGCAAAGCAAGAGGAGGAGUCCGGCUCUGGCCAGCGUUGCCCUGCUCAGAACACUGGAGCUGCUCCUACCAUUCCCUGCCUGCGGCUCCCUGGGGAACCACGGCUCUGGGACAGGCUCCCUUGGCACGGUGAGUAUCAGCUAUGAAAGCAGACGGUCUAACUAGCUGGUGAGGUGGCACUGGAGAAUGAUCACCUCCCUGUGUUUGUGUAUGUGUGCAGUCAGUGACACAAACACACGUGAAACGAAAACUCGCUUGCAUUUUCCAACACUGAGGUGAGAAGCAAAAGCUGUUUCCUGGCCCAGCUGGAGUGAGAAAAAGGAGAGCAGAAAUGGGGAGGGCUCUUGGGGUACAGGGACUGGCUUACAAUAGGGGCAGGGUGCAGGAAUAGGACAAGGUGCAUGCACCCUGUGAGCCAGCCUGGUGUAGGCAGACAGGAAAAAACAGCUGCUGAAAUUUAUGCAGAAGAAGCUUCAAAGUGAGCACGUGGCACUGUUUUAGUGCUAGAUGACAAGCACCUCUUGUUUAUUCUUAAUUUGGUUUGCCUUAAUGAAUGCAGUAGAGCUAGCUAGUAAUAAAUGAUAUAUGAAGAGAAUAAAAGAACUAGUUUUCUGUACUGGUCUCCACUCAUCCUUAGGGCAUACAGGCCAAGUAAACAUAUGAAUAGUGAGUCACUGAUUCCUUUUAAUACAGCUUCAUAACCCUUGCUGUUGUGGUUUCCUCAGCACUUCUCCAUCUUGGCCUUUUAGCUCUAGAGUGCAGAAAGAAUGGAAGACUAAAUUGUAAGGUUCUGCCACUCCUGGUGGAGGGCCCAAGGUUUUAUCUGGAUGUCUCUGCCAUGCUGAAUGGAGAUGUAUUAGCUAUAUUAAAUAUAUAUUUAUGAUUGCAGUGUAUGAGUAGCUUAGUAUGUUCUGGAAUUUACAUUGUAGAGAUGUUAUAACGAAAGCAAGUGAUCCACUUACAUUUAUAUUUACUAAAUGAUCUUGUACAAGUUAUUUCUUAAUCUGGAAGAUUGCUUUUUAAGGAAUGGAAACCCCAAGGGGCACUCGACAGUACCAGAGUAACAAACCAGCCUCAGAGCUUGGUGAGAAACUUAAGAUGGUCUACCUACAGGCCUCAGUCUGUUUUGAGUGGAACCUACAGAAAGCAUCAGUGAUGUUUAGGAAUAUAAAAAGUAACGACAACUAGGUUUAGAAAAGUGCAAAUAAGCUGCAUCCUUUCCACAAACAGUCUUUGGUACAGGCAGCCUUAUGAGAAACAUGUAACUUGUGAAUAUAUCAUUGAUUGCACUACACUAUCCAUUUCUCCUUUGCUCAUUGUGGGGUUUGACUGGUUCAUUUCUGGGGUCACAGAACUAUGGCAGUAGAAAUUGUUGCCUUGCAUCACCUCAGCUUCAUUGAGCUUGCCGGGAAUGGAAGGUACACAGUUCUCUUCAGUUAGGAGUUGCCAGACCCUCUUCUGUUGCAGACAUAUUUAAUUUUGCAGCAGAACAAACUUGCUCUUUCUCACCAUAUUCAUUAUAAAAGGUUGUUAGGGUCAUGAUGCCCUGGGACUGCCACACACAAAGCACUUUGCACUCCCAGCCUGCAGAAUGGCCUGUGCCAGGUGCGGUUAAAUCAGCUGCCCAACAGACUUCACAUUUUGUUAAUGCUUAUCAGCUAGUAGCUGGCUUGUGCUCUGCAACACAGCUGUUUCUUAACUCUUUUGUUUCAUAGAACAUCACAGCAGACACUCACAUCGCCAUGUAAUUGUUUGUUUCUUGAAUUCACUGAGACCUUCAUUUCAAUGUUUCGUGGCAGUGGGUUCAGCAACAAUGUGUUUUCUUUAAGAAACGUGACUUCCUUUCUCUAGAUUUAAAUCUUCUGCCUUUUGCUUCCAUUAAUGCAAAUCUAUUUCUGGAUCAUAAGAGAAAAAGCCACCUUUGUCCUUAAUUGAAGAGAGAAUCAUAUAUUUUUCUUCUUAGUUGUAGUUUAGUCAGUGUCUAGUUUGUUUGCAUGCUUUUAUUUUCAAUUUAUGAAGUUUUCAAGGGCUUCACCCGCAGUUUUUCCUGUUGCUAAUUAUUUUGUUGUCAUGCUUAAAAAAUUCAGAGAUGAAAGAGAAGUGAGUUUCCUUUAUAGAAACCACCCAGCUCUGCUCCUGUAUCCUGUUUAUAAAUGUGUUUAAUAAUAAAUUUUCCAUCACCUUACAUCCAAGAACUUUUAGGUGUGCAGCAAACAUUUAAUUAAUCUCACAAAGAACGUGUGAGGUAGGUUUCUUCAUUUUACAGGUGAGAUGGAGAGAGAGGCAGUUAAAUUAAGUGACUUGACUAAUAUCACACUGUGAGUCAGUGCUAAUGCUGAAAAUAGAAUUUAUGUCUCCAGGUUCCCUGCCCGAUGCUUUAAUCAUCAUACCAGACUUCACUCUAAAGUUGAGCAAAUUCCUUGAAUGAUUAAAAUAAGGAUUCUCAGUUCCAUGUUGGAUUAUUAUGUUUUAUUUCAUGUAAACAACUGAAACAUUUGCAAAAGUCUUCCAUGCUUAGGACUCUUUUAGUCUUUUUUGUUCAGAUGUAGCUUCAGAUACCAGCUGCAUAUAUUUUGAAAAAAAAAAAAAAAGAUAAGGAACACACUUAAAACACACUCAUUGAUGUGAAUGCAGGAAUGCUGUUGUUCAUACUUGCAACACCAGUUCCUUAAUAAUAUCUAAUUAAUAAUUAAUAAUAUAAUUAAUAAUAUUUAUCGCUUCAGUAAAUGGAGCUUUGUGAAAGUAUUGCCCCACAGAAAGAAGAGUGACUGCUAGUUAUGCUGUCAUGAAUGAAUGAAAAUGUAGCCUGAAGCACAAAAUAGCAACUGCAUCUACAGGAAAACCUGCUUAGACACGCAAUUCUGAACUGUAUCAUCUCUGAAUAAACUGGUGCAUAAAGAUGUACAAUCCUUGAAAACUUGUUUGAACAAAUAGUACCCAUGUUCGGGCUAAUCUCAUGCUCCAGCAGCUUUAUAGCUUUUUGAGCGUAGUCCAUGCAUUUGUUUGUGUUGAUGGAACAUAAAAUAUUUUUUUCCAAUCCUCACUGUCUUACCUGUUUGAUGGUAUUCUUCAGUACGGGGGAGAAUAAACAGCCCAGGAAUACAUACUGGGCAUAAGGCAGAGGCCCAGGAGAGGUAACGGAGCAAUACUGUCACCAUCCCUUGUUCCCUAUUAAACCUGAGUAUGGACACAGCUGCCUUUUACACAGACUUACACAAUGCUUUGUAUCACGUAGUACUUUUGCUACCUGUGAGACAAGCAGCACAAGGCUGUGGUCAUCUCCUAGAUUUCUGUAAGGACUUUUGCUGCGUGUAACAAGUGGGGCAUUGCUGGGCAAAGAGCCUUUCAACUUAACUGCACCUUAACAACAAAGUACCUUAAAAAUUCAACCACUUAAUUUUUGAGUGCAAAUUACACUCCUAGGUGUUAAAUCAGCUGUAUUUAUAGGUGUCAUGCUGUAUUUAUAGAAACAGCUCCAAAGUAGUGUGAUGUAUUGUAAAGUAGUGAGAAUCACUUCCUGACUACUUAGCUGGAGUUAAGCAGAAGGUUCCAGGUAACAAGCCAUGGGAUAUGUUCCAGAAGGCCAUCCUGUCUCCUUUCCAGGGUCAUGUUGUGUUCCCUUUGGGUUUACCCUCUCUUAUCAUUUGGGCUCUGCUAUCAGUAGCCAGAUGUCACUAGUCAGUGUUGCUCCAGUUUUGCUUUCCAUUUCUGUUUGAAAUAAAGGUGUUUUUCUUGCAGACUUUGUAGAACAACCUGACGGAAAGGGAUGAGCAAUUUGUGAAACUACUGUGCCCAUCUACCAGGUCUCAGAGAUGGUGCCUCUCCAAGGGGUUGUUCAAAACUAGGCAUGGAUUGCCUGAAUUGUCUGGUAGAAGAGACCUCUGUGACUUUCAUAGACUUUGAAACCAAACCUAAAAAAGCAAUGCAAACUAUUAAAAAUAUUUAUCUGGCUGCUCACUCGUGUUCCCUUUUAUCAAUAGUUCCUGUGACUAAACCACCAAACGCAAUGGUAAUAAUGUCUGAGGAACUGCAAAUGCAAAUGAAGCAUUAGCUAAUAUUUGGGGAAAAUGAGGCUUGAAAUUGGCACUGUGCCUAGGUGUUCUCUUCCAGGUUGGGAAUAGAAAGAAGACUUUGUGAUCUGCGUGUCUGAGCAAAACAAAACCAGCUGAAAUUAAAUACACGACUUUAGACAACAAGCCAUGUAUAACUGAGUGGACAUCAUAGCAUUUUGCAUGUUAAGUUCAUGAAUGUGCUUUCAGUGAAAACCUCCAUGUACCCUGCCUAUCUCAGUAAUCUCAUCCCUGCUCUUUAAUAGGUCUAUCAGCCUCCUUCUGCUGAUUCAGCACAGAUAGGAAACAUGUUAGGAAUGUCAGUUCUUUGCAGUGGUGGGGAUUAUGCACAUGGCAACAGGUGAUGUUUAUGAAAAAUAUAUAACUACUUUCUUCACUGCCCAUAAGGCAGUGAGAAAGAAACUGAGGUACAGCCAUACAGCUACUCUGAAGAGUUAAUACCAUAAAUACAUUACGUACACUUGCAGAACUGAGAAAGCAUUUGUGGCAGCAUGUUUCUUACACAUUAGAACUGAAAAUGGAACUGAAAAGAAAGUGAAAAGAAAUGCAUACUGAGGGAGUCAACCCAUUUAAUCACAUUGUAGAAAUAGAAUGAAUGGUACAAGGCCAAAGAAUGCCACAAGUGACGGAAAAAAUCCAGUAUCAGUUACCUUAAUUGGACUAAUUAUAAAAGGUGGAGUUAGCAAUGCAGGCAAGGUACAUUUUUCCAACAUUCCUUAUUAUGUGUUAAUCAUGGCACUGUAAAGAUCCAAAUAUCUUGGAUCGUGUAACUUGCUAAAUACCACUUGCAUGUUUCUUGCUGGAGCUCAGUGCAGCAAGGCAAGUACAAGCUGAAACAGCACAAAUGGGGAAGGACUUCUUUCUUUAUUAAAACGAGCAGUUUCUGCUGAAACUAGUAUUGCUUGAGGACCAGCUUGUGGUUCCAAGUGUCUUUCAGUGCUGACAGCUGAAGACAGUAGCUCUGGGCCAGGAGUUAAUGUUUGCUCCUUGCUCUAAUGGGCGGAUGUGUUUAAUUAACCUUUGUUUCUGCAGAAGCAGACUUUCUGGCAAGCUGUAGGAAUGCUAAAGAAGGGAAAUCUAAACAGCAGCAAACCCAGGCACAUUCUAUACAUCUAGUGCUAGGUAAAGAAUGCUAAUGCAGACAAGUACUUACUGUUUCCUAGGAGAUCGAUUUGUACAAGCAAUUUUUGUGAAAUAAACUUAAUAUGGCGUUUCCUUUGGGACCUGCUUCCAGUACUUUCACAAGACCCGGCUAUGGUGCAGUGUCUGGUUAAAGACUGGGCACAGUUCUUCAACUGGGGGCUCACAAAAGUCUGUAUUCAAGGAGGAAAUAUUCAGCUUAGUAUUUCUUCCUGAGAGCAGGACCUGACAGCCGUGCUGCUUGUGCCAUGUCCAGAGUUGGCUUCUACUUCAGCUCAAACAGAUCCUUCCCAGAGUUUCCAGCAAAGUGCACUUCUUCAGGUUUAUAGCUAAUUUUUCAGGAAGAGUAUGGUAAGUCUUAUGCAAAGCAAAUAUGCUUUGCAUAAAGUUGCUGGAGGCACUGCUUUUCAUUUGUAAAACUAAAGCACCGUAGAUUACAGUUCAUACUAAUAUACCACACUCCCUGGACACAAUGUCCCUAGGCCUAACUCUUUGUUUUCCUAAAAAUCCUCAACUUCGUGUGUUUUGCAAUUGGACAAAAUAGAGCUUAUCUUCUCUGACCUUCACCAGCUCCACUGUCACAAUAGCAUCAUUGUUUCCUACCUCCUCCCCUUAAUAAGCAGUACCCUCCAUUCUUCUCACUUCCUUUCUGGCCCAAAGCUUUCCCUCUGAGUGACUUUUUAAAGCUCUGCUUUGUCAUCUAUUCUUGUCAGUACUGUGAUCUAAAUUCCAGCCUCCUUCAGUCCUGCUUGUCUCAGUGUCAGCAGCCAGGACUCUAGCUGGUUUUCCUCAAAAAGUGUCUUUUGAAGUUGAAUGGUGGACAUAACUCUCCACUGUUGAGGCCUUACAAACAAGGUACAUUCCCAGUUGACAUAAACAUUUAAAAGACGGUAUUUUUCUCGCUAGAACUGAACAGUAGCAUCACAUUAUCAUUACAAUCAUGAAAGUUCUGCCUCUAUUCCUUGCUUGUCAUGGGAGGAGUAGGGAAGAAGAGUGAGUGGAGCUCCUCUGCAACCUAAUGCUCCACCCAAGCUCCCGCAAAACCUACAAGUAUAAAUGUGUGCAUGGUGGGAGGGGUGGAAUUGUAGUCCUGAGCUGUUAUUGUCAUCUCAGUGGCCCGUCCUUGCACUGGGAUCUGACUCAUGCAGCCUGUAGGGCUUAGCUAUCCUAUUAAUAUACUUUGUGAUGCUGUAGGUAGCACUCACUGAGAUGGAAUAUAUGACAAUACGUGCCUUUCUAUUUGUA